AUGUUCAUUUUAGCAGCACAUACACCAACAUUAGACACAGAGAAGAUCAGAACGGCCCCUGUGCAAGGAUAACACCCAGGCUGGUGAAACAUUCCAUGUUUUU